UUCACAGUAUGCAGUGGUUGCCUGGUCUGUUGAAUCACAAUUUAUUUUAGAUCAGGUGGAUGGCUGCCUGCAUAUACAUAGUUCACCCGAGGAAAAGAUGUUAGCAAGAUGCACUAUGGGAAGAAGGUAGGCCGACAGAGGUACUGUUAUGCUAAUGUCUUGUUCUGCUGGGAAACCUUGGGUUCUGGCACAAUUAUGUGGAUGUUACUUUGACAUGUACCACCAACCUAGAGAUUGUUGCAGACCACGUAUACCCCUUCAUGGCAAUGGUGUUUCCUGAUGAGUGACUUCUUUCAGCAGGAUAAUGCACCCGUCACACUGCAAAAAUUGUUCAGAAAUAGUUUGAGGAACAUGACAAAGCAUUCUAGGUGUUGCCUUGGCCUCCAAAUUCCCAAAACGUUGCCAUUAAACUUACAGUUCUUAACUUAACAGAUGGUCAAAUUGAGAGUUUUUAUCCAGCCUAAGACAGCGUUAUAACAGCAUGUAGUAAAAUCAAAAAAUCUAAAUUAACACUAUAAGCAAAAUAACCAUGUCAUAACACUGGUUUAUAGUGCCUGGAGCACGGAUCCCUCUAGCGCUGUAUCUCCAUUCAGUUUUAAACCAUUAUUUCAAUACAGACAUGAGUUGGUGUGCAAAUAUUGCCAGGAGUUAUGAUUGGCAUGUUAAACAAUUCUCACUAGUACUACAUCAUUGACUUUGUGAAUGCCUUUCACUGUGCUUUACUGAAGUUACAUCCAGAUUACUCCACACCACUGCAAUAUCAAAAUCAUACAGAUAAAGAGAUUGUUAGGUGCAGAAAAGGUUAUUC